rnacentral:ncRNA from 2 species
UUGAUACGCAUCACCCGUGGUUCUCGCCCGGCGGUGCCGGACGAGAUAAUAGGGAACACGGUGCACCGCGUCCGCGCGGUUAUUCCGAGGCUGCCCCCGCAACUGUAAGCGGCGAAUCUCGCCGACGAACACCACUGGCCCGCAACGGCUGGGAAGGUUCGGCGAGAUGAUGACCCGUGAGCCAGGAGACCUGCCACACCCGUUCGCACCUG